rnacentral:rRNA from 1 species
UUUAGAGGAAGUAAAAGUCGUAACAAGGUUUCCGUAGGUGAACCUGCGGAAGGAUCAUUACCGUGUUUGAUGGCUUCGGCCAUUUUCCACACCCCUUGUUUCCACCUCCGGUUUCUUUGGCGAGAACUUGAUCGCUCUCGUCAGAAUCACUCUGGGAAUGCGGUAUCGUCUGAGUCUUUGAUUAAAUCAGCUCAAAACUUUCAACAACGGAUCUCUUGGUUCCAGCAUCGAUGAAGAACGCAGCGAAAUGCGAUAAGUAAUGUGAAUUGCAGAAUUCCGUGAAUCAUCGAGUUUUUGAACGCACAUUGCACUCCUUGGCAUUCCGAGGAGUACGCCUGUUCGAGCGUCAUUUCACCAUCAAGCCCUCGGCUUGGAGUUGGGCCUGGCUGCGGCCAUGCCUUAAUGGAAUGGGCGAUUGACCAUAGUGAUGACUCACUCGCGUCAAUCCGCAUUUUGACUCUUGGUUGACCUCGGAUCAGGCGGGGAUACCCGCUGAACUUA